CCCUUACCCUUAUUUGCCAGCGAUUCGGUCGGGAACUAUAAGGGGACUGCCGGUGAUAAACCGGAGGAAGGUGAGGACGACGUCAAGUCAUCAUGGCCCUUACGUAUAGGGCUACACACGUGCUACAAUGGGGAAUACAGACGGACGCUAAGCCGCGAGGUGGUGCUAAUCCUAGAAAAUUCUUCGUAGUCCGGAUUGGAGUCUGCAACUCGACUCCAUGAAGUCGGAAUCGCUAGUAAUCGCGAAUCAGCAUGUCGCGGUGAAUACGUUCUCGGGUCUUGUACACACCGCCCGU
rnacentral:rRNA from 1 species